rnacentral:rRNA from 1 species
AUACGAAGGGGGCUAGCGUUGCUCGGAAUGACUGGGCGUAAAGGGAGUGUAGGCGGUUUGUACAGUCAGAUGUGAAAUCCCCGGGCUUAACCUGGGAGCUGCAUUUGAGACGUGCAGACUAGAGUGUGAGAGAGGGUUGCGGAAUUCCCAGUGUAGAGGUGAAAUUCGUAGAUAUUGGGAAGAACACCGGUGGCGAAGGCGGCAACCUGGCUCAUUACUGACGCUGAGGCGCGAAAGCGUGGGGAGC